rnacentral:snRNA from 1 species
UGGUGACUCGACAAAGUGA